GACGAACGCUGGCGGCGUGCUUAACACAUGCAAGUCGAACGGAAAGGCCCUGCUUUUGUGGGGUGCUCGAGUGGCGAACGGGUGGGUAACACGUGAGUAACCUGCCCUUGACUUUGGGAUAACUUCAGGAAACUGGGGCUAAUACCGGAUAGGAGCUCCUGCUGCAUGGUGGGGGUUGGAAAGUUUCGGCGGUUGGGGAUGGACUCGCGGCUUAUCAGCUUGUUGGUGGGGUAGUGGCUUACCAAGGCUUUGACGGGUAGCCGGCCUGAGAGGGUGACCGGCCACAUUGGGACUGAGAUACGGCCCAGACUUCUACGGGAGGCAGCAGUGGGGAAUAUUGCACAAUGGGCGGAAGCCUGAUGCAGCAACGCCGCGUGCGGGAUGACGGCCUUCGGGUUGUAAACCGCUUUCGCCUGUGACGAAGCGUGAGUGACGGUAAUGGGUAAAGAAGCACCGGCUAACUACGUG
rnacentral:rRNA from 1 species